rnacentral:rRNA from 1 species
CGGUUAAAAAGCUCGUAGUUGGAUUUCUGUUGAGGAUGACCGGUCCGCUCUUUGAGCGCGUAUCUGGUUCAGCCUUGGCAUCCUCUUGGGGAACGCUACUGUGCUUGAUUGCAUGGGGCGGUAUUCAAGACUUUUACUUUGAGGAAAUUAGAGUGUUCACUGCAAGCGUUAGCAAUUGAAUACAUUAGCAUGGAAUAAUAAUAUAGGACCUUGGUACUAUUUUGUUGGUUUCUAGAACUAAGGUAAUGAUUAAUAGGGACAAUUGGGGGCAUUCGUAUUAACGCGUCAGAGGUGGAAUUCUUAGAUUGCGUUACGACGAACUACUGCGAAAGCAUUUGCCAAGGAUGUUUUCAUUGAUCAAGAACGAAAGUAUGGGGAUCGAAGACGCUUAGAUACCGUCGUAGUCUAUACCAUAAACUAUGCCAACUAGAGAUUGGAGGUCGUUCUCUUUAUGACUCCUUCAGCACCUUAUGAGAAAUCAAAGUCUUUGGGAUCCGGGGGGAGUAUGGUCGCAAGGCUGAAACUUAAAGGAAUUGACGGAAGGGCACCACCAGGAGUGGAGCCUGCGGCUUAAUUUGACUCAACACGGGAAAACUUACCAGGUCCAGACAUAGUAAGGAUUGACAGAUUGAUAGCUC